rnacentral:tRNA from 1 species
GGAGUAUAGCUCAGUCGGUUCAGAGCAUCUGCCUUACAAGCAGAGGGUCAUUGGUUCGAAUCCGAUUACUCCC